rnacentral:rRNA from 1 species
AAUGAACGCUGGCGGCAGGACUAACACAUGCAAGUAGAGCGGAGCGGCGGACGGGAGAGGAAAGCCUAGGAAUCUGCCUGGUAGAGGGGGAGAACGUCAGGAAACGGGCGAUGAAAAAGCAUAUUAGAAGCGAAGCAGAGGUCGGAUUAGCUAGUGGGGGGGGUAAAGGCCUACGAAGGAGACGAUCCGUAAGUGGUCUGAGAGGAGGAUCAGUCACACUGGAACUGAGACACGGUCCAGACUCCUACGGGAGGCAGCAGUGGGGAAUAUUGGACAAUGGGCGAAAGCCUGAUCCAGCCAUGCCGCGUGUGUGAAGAAGGUCUUCGGAUUGUAAAGCACUUUAAGUUGGGAGGCGUUACCAACAGAAUAAGCACCGGCUAACUUCGUGCCAGCAGCCGCGGUAAGAC